UGGGUAGGGAGCGUUCUGUAAGCCUGCGAAGGUGACCUGUGAGGGUUGCUGGAGGUAUCAGAAGUGCGAAUGCUGACAUAAGUAACGAUAAAGCGGGUGAAAAGCCCGCUCGCCGGAAGACCAAGGGUUCCUGUCCAACGUUAAUCGGGGCAGGGUGAGUCGACCCCUAAGGCGAGGCCGAAAGGCGUAGUCGAUGGGAAACAGGUUAAUAUUCCUGUACUUGGUGUUACUGCGAAGGGGGGACGGAGAAGGCUAUGUUAGCCGGGCGACGGUUGUCCCGGUUUAAGCAUGUAGGCUGGUUGUCCAGGCAAAUCCGGAUAAUCAAGGCUGAGGUGUGAUGACGAGGCACUACGGUGCUGAAGUAACAAAUGCCCUGCUUCCAGGAAAAGCCUCUAAGCAUCAGGUAACAUCAAAUCGUACCCCAAACCGACACAGGUGGUCAGGUAGAGAAUACCAAGGCGCUUGAGAGAACUCGGGUGAAGGAACUAGGCAAAAUGGUGCCGUAACUUCGGGAGAAGGCACGCUGGUGUGUAGGUGAAGUCCCUGCGGAUGGAGCUGAGACCAGUCGAAGAUACCAGCUGGCUGCAACUGUUUAUUAAAAACACAGCACUGUGCAAACACGAAAGUGGACGUAUACGGUGUGACGCCUGCCCGGUGCCGGAAGGUUAAUUGAUGGGGUUAUCCGUAAGGAGAAGCUCUUGAUCGAAGCCCCGGUAAACGGCGGCCGUAACUAUAACGGUCCUAAGGUAGCGAAAUUCCUUGUCGGGUAAGUUCCGACCUGCACGAAUGGCGUAAUGAUGGCCAGGCUGUCUCCACCCGAGACUCAGUGAAAUUGAACUCGCUGUGAAGAUGCAGUGUACCCGCGGCAAGACGGAAAGACCCCGUGAACCUUUACUAUAGCUUGACACUGAACAUUGAGCCUUGAUGUGUAGGAUAGGUGGGAGGCUUUGAAGCGUGGACGCCAGUCUGCGUGGAGCCAACCUUGAAAUACCACCCUUUAAUGUUUGAUGUUCUAACGUUGGCCCCUGACCGGGGUUGCGGACAGUGUCUGGUGGGUAGUUUGACUGGGGCGGUCUCCUCCCAAAGCGUAACGGAGGAGCACGAAGGUUAGCUAAUCCUGGUCGGACAUCAGGAGGUUAGUGCAAUGGCAUAAGCUAGCUUGACUGCGAGCGUGACGGCGCGAGCAGGUGCGAAAGCAGGUCAUAGUGAUCCGGUGGUUCUGAAUGGAAGGGCCAUCGCUCAACGGAUAAAAGGUACUCCGGGGAUAACAGGCUGAUACCGCCCAAGAGUUCAUAUCGACGGCGGUGUUUGGCACCUCGAUGUCGGCUCAUCACAUCCUGGGGCUGAAGUAGGUCCCAAGGGUAUGGCUGUUCGCCAUUUAAAGUGGUACGCGAGCUGGGUUUAGAACGUCGUGAGACAGUUCGGUCCCUAUCUGCCGUGGGCGCUGGAGAAUUGAGGGGGGCUGCUUCUAGUACGAGAGGACCGGAGUGGACGCAUCACUGGUGUUCGGGUUGUCAUGCCAAUGGCACUGCCCGGUAGCUAAAUGCGGAAGAGAUAAGUGCUGAAAGCAUCUAAGCACGAAACUUGCCCCGAGAUGAGUUCUCCCUGAGACUUUAAGUCUCCUGAAGGAACGUUAAAGACGAUGACGUUGAUAGGCCGGGUGUGUAAGCGCAGCGAUGCGUUGAGCUAACCGGUACUAAUGAACCGUGAGGCUUAACCUU
rnacentral:rRNA from 2 species